rnacentral:tRNA from 1 species
GUCGACGUAGCUCAGCUGGUUAGAGCGGGCGUCUCAUACGCGCCAGGCCGGAGGUUCGAGUCCUCCCGUCGACA